AGCGAACGCUGGCGGCAGGCCUAACACAUACAAGUCGAACGGGCUCUUCGGAGCUAGUGGCGGACGGGUGAGUAACACGUGGGAACGUGCCUUUAGGUUCGGAAUAAGCCCGGGAAACUGGGUCUAAUACCGAAUGUGCCCUUCGGGGGAAAGAUUUAUCGCCUUUAGAGCGGCCCGCGUCUGAUUAGCUUGUUGGUGAGGUAAUGGCUCACCAAGGCGACGAUCAGUAGCUGGUCUGAGAGGAUGACCAGCCACAUUGGGACUGAGACACGGCCCAAACUCCUACGGGAGGCAGCAGUGGGGAAUCUUGCGCAAUGGGCGAAAGCCUGACGCAGCCAUGCCGCGUGGAUGAUGAAGGUCUUAGGAUUGUAAAAUCCUUUCACCGGUGAAGAUAAUGACUGUAGCCGGAGAAGAAGCCCCGGCUAACUUCGUGCCAGCAGCCGCGGUAAAAC
rnacentral:rRNA from 1 species